rnacentral:rRNA from 1 species
CCUACGGGUGGCAGCAGUGAGGAAUAUUGGUCAAUGGACGGAAGUCUGAACCAGCCAUGCCGCGUGCAGGAAGACGGCCCUAUGAGUUGUAAACUGCUUUUGUACAAGGGUAAACCUGCUUACGUGUAUUCCGCUGAAAUUACUGUACGAAUAAGGAACGGCUAACUUCGUUCCAGCAGCCGCGGUAAUACGGAGGAUCCGAGCGUUAUCCGGAUUUAUUGGGUUUAAAGUGUGCGUAGGCGGAUUGAUAAGUUAGAGGUGAAAUGUCCGGGCUUAACUCGGGAACUGCCUCUAAUACUGUUGAUCUAGAGAGUAGAUGCGGUAGGCGGAAUGUAUGGUGUAGCGGUGAAAUGCUUAGAGAUCAUACAGAACACCGAUGGCGAAGGCAGCUUACCAAUCUAUAUCUGACGUUGAGGAGCGAAAGCGUGGGGAGCAAACAGGAUUAGAUACCCCGGUAGUC